GGAGUUAGCCGGUGCUUCCUUUGAAGGUACCGUCAAUGCACCGCUGAUUAGCACGAUGCAAUUUCUUCCCUUCUGACAGAGGUUUACGAUCCGAAGACCUUCUUCCCUCACGCGGCGUUGCUGGGUCAGGCUUGCGCCCAUUGCCCAAUAUUCCCCACUGCUGCCUCCCGUAGGAGUCUGGACCGUGUCUCAGUUCCAGUGUGGCCGAUCAGCCUCUCAGCUCGGCUACCCAUCGCAGGCUUGGUGGGCUGUUAUCUCACCAACUACCUAAUGGGACGCGAACCCCUCCUUCAGCGGAUUGCUCCUUUGACCUCAUCCCGAUGCCGGGUCUGGUCUUAUGCGGUAUUAGCACUUGUUUCCAGGUGUUAUCCCCCUCUGAAGGUCAGGUUGUUCACGCGUUACUCACCCGUUCGCCACUAAAUUUAUCUUCCAUCCGAAAACUUCUAGAUAAAUCUCCGUUCGACUUGCAUGUGUUAGGCACGCCGCCAGCGUUCGUCCUGAGCCAGAAUCGAACCCUGA
rnacentral:rRNA from 1 species